UACGUAGGGGGCAAGCGUUGUCCGGAAUUAUUGGGCGUAAAGCGCGCGCAGGCGGUCCUUUAAGUCUGAUGUGAAAGCCCACGGCUCAACCGUGGAGGGUCAUUGGAAACUGGGGGACUUGAGUGCAGGAGAGAAGAGUGGAAUUCCACGUGUAGCGGUGAAAUGCGUAGAGAUGUGGAGGAACACCAGUGGCGAAGGCGGGUCUCUGGGCAGUGAACUGACGCUGAG
rnacentral:rRNA from 1 species